GCUGCCCAGGGAAGUGGCAGAGUCAUCAUACCUGGAGAACGUCAAGAUCCACGGAGGUGUGGUACUGAGGGAUGUUGUUUAGUGGGCAGUAUUGUUGGUAGGUAAACAGUCAGACCAGAUAACUUUAGAGGUCUUUUCCAAUCUUGGUGAUUCUAUGGCAACCAGAACCACUACUCAGUUCUGUAACUGGAGGUCUAAACCGGAUAACUGAACUCAGGACUAAACACAGUAAUGAUCUCAAAGUUCAAAUAAUAUUGAGACCAAGGAAGGAAACAGUAGGCCACGGCUCAGUUUUGCGAGACUAAGAUGGUUGUUACACAGGCAUCAGUUUGCCAAACCACAGCUUUUCCUGUUUGGUUCAGUUUUCAGUAUUGCUGAUUGAUGCAAGGAAACGACUAUAUGAGCCACAGAAGCCAAGAAAAGUAAAAAUGAAGCAGAAGUGAAAACCUAAUCAAAUGAGUAGCAACUCAGGGACUCAAGGGGCAAUUACUUAUGUGAAAGGUUAUAAGGCCAUGUGGAAUAAAAGCAGAGAGAAUGAAGACAAUUGCUUGACAGGACUGGGGAUCUACUUAUGUCAAGGAACUGCAGCAGCUGACAUUUCUCCACCCAGCUAAUGACUAUAUGACCGUGAUAUUCAUUGGCAUUGCAUUGGGUGACAGUGAGGCUGAGCAGAACCAUAUAUAUCUCCAAGAACUGCAAGAGGGACAUGGCCUUUCUUCCUUCACAUCUCUCAAGAGAAGUAUGGCUCUAAGAUGCUACAACAGAGAAUAUAUUCUGCUCUUCUCUCUGCCAUGACCUUCAUAGAAGCAUCCAAGAGAAAAAGAAAAGGCAGCAUUAGAACAUCCCUUGAAGUAAAAGUAUUAAAGUAUUAUCUUGUCAUGCUGUUCUGGCACAACAGAAUGUUUUAAAAGGAA